rnacentral:rRNA from 1 species
AAAAGACUUAGUCCUAACCUUACCGUUAAUUUUUGCUAAAUAUAUACAUGCAAGUAUCUGCGCCCCAGUGUAAAUGCCCUUGAUCUCUUACUAAGAAGAAAGGAGCGGGUAUCAGGCACACCUAAACUGUAGCCCAAGACGCCUUGCUCAGCCACACCCUCACGGGUAUUCAGCAGUAAUUAACAUUAAGCAAUAAGUGAAAACUUGACUUAGUUAUAGCAACACCAGGGUUGGUAAAUCUUGUGCCAGCCACCGCGGUCACACAAGAGACCCAAAUUAACUGUAUACGGCGUAAAGAGUGGUAUCAUGUUAUCUCAACAACUAAGACCAAAGUGCAACUAAGCUGUCAUAAGCUCAAGAUGUACCUAAGACCUCCCUUAAAACGAUCUUAGCGCUUUUGAUCAAUUUAAUUCCACGAAAGCUAAGACACAAACUGGGAUUAGAUACCCCACUAUGCUUAGCCCUAAAUCUUGAUGCUCUUUUCCCCAUACCUAGAGCAUCCGCCUGAGAACUACGAGCACAAACGCUUAAAACUCUAAGGACUUGGCGGUGCCCUAAACCCACCUAGAGGAGCCUGUUCUGUAAUCGAUAACCCACGUUACACCCGACCGCCUCUUGCCAAAACAGCCUACAUACCGCCGUCGCCAGCUCACCUCCCCUGAGAGCCCAACAGUGAGCACAACAGCCUAAACCCGCUAAUAAGACAGGUCGAGGUAUAGCCUACGAGGCGGAAGAAAUGGGCUACAUUUUCUAAAAUAGAAAACUUACGGAAGGGGGUAUGAAAUUGGCCCCCCGAAGGCGGAUUUAGUAGUAAAGUGGGACAAUAUAAGCCUUCUUUAAAUCGGCCCUGGGGCACGUACAUACCGCCCGUCACCCUCCUCAUAAGCUACCCACCCUACAAUACCUAAUACAACUCCAAGCUGAAGAUGAGGUAAGUCGUAACAAGGUAAGUGUACCGGAAGGUGCACUUAGCAUACC